AUUGAACGCUGGCGGCAGGCCUAACACAUGCAAGUCGAACGAGUGGCGGACGGGUGAGUAAUGUCUGGGAAACUGCCCGAUGGAGGGGGAUAACUACUGGAAACGGUAGCUAAUACCGCAUACCAUCGGAUGUGCCCAUAUGGGAUUAGCUAGUAGGUGGGGUAAAGGCUCACCUAGGCGACGAUCCCUAGCUGGUCUGAGAGGAUGAUCAGCCACACUGGAACUUAGACACGGUCCAGACGCGUACGGGAGGCAGCAGUGGGGAAUAUUGCACAAUGUGGGCAAGCCUGAGGCAGCCAUGCCGCGUGUAUGAAGAAGGCCUUCGGGUUGUAAAGUACUUUCAGCGGGGAGGCGUGACCCGCAGAAGAAGCACCGGCUAACUCCGUGCCAGCAGCCGCGGUAAUAC
rnacentral:rRNA from 1 species